ensembl:lncRNA
UUUGAACCGUAGGAUUUUUUUCAAGAAUGAAAAAGUGAAACUGUAUUUAGUGAAAGUGAAAGCCUCAUGAACGACUCGUGAGUCAUUUUUGUUCAUGGACAAAUAACAUGGAUGUGGGAAGAAGGAUCAGCCUUCAAGAAGCAGUAAUGUAGGCAGAGGAAGAGGAGGGAGGAUUGCGUCAGAAUCAGCCUCCUCUGACUCAUCAGCCCUGCUCUCUCCCUGACAAACACACACUCCCCCCUCUGUUUCCAUGUUUGACUGCGUAAUCUUGUCACAUGAGAGCAAUCAGUCCAGAAACAGUUGCCAGGGAAGCUUUUUCAUUCCUUACAAAAAGACAGACUCGGGGAUCUUAGAUGUUGUUAAAUUGAUUGCACUACAAUAAACGCUUUCUGAGUGCCUGGGUUUUGUCCUCGUGUUUGCGUAACCUUGUAUGUGCAGCUCUCUGCUUCAGUCCAUUCACUCAUUAUGGCUGACAAGCCUUCCCUAGCAACAACAGUUCCUUUUACUGCUGAUGUGAGGAGCAGUGUUCGGAUACAGAAGCUCACUGUGCAGUUCAGGUUCCCGUUCAGCAGCGUUUCUGUGCUGAUAUCGCUUAAACAUCCUUCUCCCUGCAAACGCUCAUGUCACCCACAUGCUAACUCAUGCUUACUAUGUCAACAGCCGGGCUCACAUGUGCAGAAUCACAUGACUUGCUGAUUUUCCAUUCGCUGCUUUUUUCAUUUGCAUCCCAAUGUGCCACUGUUUGCUUUGCAAAGCUGAACACAUUUGCACUGUUUCCAUUGGGCUGAUUGUGUUAUUGAUGCACAUGCCUCUAUUAUUUCAUUUUUCACUUUGCUAACAUGCACUCACAGAAACUGUCAUGGUGCUGGGUCGUUGACCCAGCGUUUUGUGUUUUAUGGUUAUUUUCUUCUGUUCUAGUUAUUCUGAUUUUGGUGUUCUGUGUCCUCCCCUUGUGCCCUGUUCGUGUUCUGGAUUUCCUGUUUUAUUUUGAAGGUCUGUGUCUGUUGUCAUUGUGUUCAGCUUGUAUCCUCCAGAUCGUCUUUGUGUACUGGGAUCAGCUGUUCUUCCCUCCUGUGUGUGAUUACCUGAUUUCCUUGUGUGUGAGUGGGUGUCGGUCUGUGCUUGUCUGUGUUCCAUGGCGUUUCGUUCCUCUCUCUGCGCCACACCCCGUUUCUUAUGUUCUCAGGUUUGUUAAUUAGUUUUUCCAGUUUAGGUUUCUUUAGUCAUUUCUCACUGUCAGCUCUGUCACCCUAUUACAUGUAAAUAAACGUCACUUGCAUUAUCAGUCAA